GUGCACCGUGGGAAGUAGAAUCGGCUUGGCGUUCGGAACUUUCCGCCAGACCGCUGGAGGGUAGCGGAUGACGAGAGCGAGGCGUGCGAAGCAGCCGUUGUUGUCGAGGCCGCUUUCGAGUGUUUCCGGAAAACAGGCGGAACUUCCCGAAGCCCGGCGGAGGCGGCCAUGUUGGGAGCCUCCGCUGUGUGAAGCUGAGGGGCGGCGAGUAGAGCUCGGGCACCGGCAGUGACGGGAAAACGGUGUCCGGGCCCAGUUCUGGAGGCGCGCGGGGGCUCGGAAGCCUCAGACCAGACAAAGGCUCGCUUUGGGUCCCGGCGUUUCCCCGCUUCGGGUUUUUUCGACCGGUGCGGCCUUGUCCCCGCGCCUCAUCCUCGGCCUCGCGUGAACUGUCAAGCCGGGCACCCCUCAUUCAAAGCCGGCGGGGCGCGGGACCCACCUAUGUAUAGGCGGUGCUGGUGCCUUCCGACCACCCAUUGAGCCCCAUUUCCCCCAUGCUGGUGGCUUGGCCGCCCCCCUCGCCGUGAGGAGGAGGAGGAGGAGGAGGAGGAAGAGCCGGAGGAGGAGGAAGACCCCGACCCCUUCCAGCUGGGUCAGGGCGAAGGAGAAGGGGAAGCAGCUGAGCAGCAGUGGGGGGACUCUCCCCUCAGGCCCUGCCCAAGGGAGCCAUGUCGAACAGUGGUCGGAGUCCCCUGCCCACCCUCAAUGAGAGAGACACGGAGCAGGUAAAAGGGCUGGAUGUGCAUUUGGGGAGGGGGUGGGAUCCAAUAGGGAAACCUGGGGGUUCCUUGAUCCCACAUAUAUUCCUUCUGUUGGGGUUAAUGUGGAUGGGGCGGCAUGUCUAGGUUCUUCUUUGAAAGGAAAAAGGAAAAGUGAUCCUGGUUCGGUUAGCCCAGCACAUGUGGGAAAUUUAGCAGAGGGAAUCUUCUUUUCCCAUGUCACAGAAAUGUAGUGGUACAUCUGUUUGUGUGGGUAAGUGAAGCCUCCCACGUAUUCCCCCCCCUCCCCCACCAGGCUGUUGUCAGAAAGCAGACAGAUAUUUUUAAAAACAUAGCACCACACGGGUGGCGAUCCUGCAUGGGAAGCUGGAUAAGUGCUGUCCCUUUAAGAGUUGCGUGGUAGGGAGAAUCUAGCCAGAUGAGAUGUUCUUCACCUCCCACCCAUUCCCCCUCCUCAGUCUAAGUCUCUGGAGCACUGUGAUGGGAAUAGCUUAAGGCUGCCACUUUCCUUUUUAACUGCCUGUGUUCCUGUGCCUUUUAAAAAACCUAUAAAAGCAUUUUGAGGCAUGCAGAAAUAUAGCAGGUGAAGCGUUGUUCAGCUGUUUGUGCCAUUCCAGGGAGUGUGCUUCUCUUGUUUUUAUUUCCUGUUUGAUAGGCAGGUGCAGGGAAAGAUUGAAAAGGUACAGAAAAGAAGGGGCAACCCUGACCUCCUCUGUGCUCCAAAGAUUUGGGGGUGGGGGAGGAGCUUGAUCUGACUUGAUUUUCCGUUCCAUGUACUGUAAUGUUUAAAGGGGAGCAUUCUUCGUGGAGCAGCUUCCCAUGAAGGGAUAUUGUUACUUCUUUUUUCUUUUUUUAAAGUGACUCUGCUCCUGUGCUGCUUUUCAACAGUAGGUUGUUGUGGAGAAAUUCAACAGGCAUAACUCUCACCACCACUGAUUCAUCUCUUAUGUGGGGGAUGCAAGAGAAAGCUUACCUUUCUAGAUUUCAUGAGCAGGGUUAACAAAGCAACUGAAUGAAUGGCAACCCUGCCCUGUAAACUUUGGACAAGGCUUGAGUGCUAGGAGGAGGCUGGGAAAGGAAACCUCCAGGCUUACCUUCUUCUUGUAAAGGUGGAUGUGUGGGGUAAUUGGAGUGGUGGUAGAAGUGAAUAACAUGCAGGGUAGCAUCCAGGAGGGUAGGUAAAAACACCAGGAGUUGGGGAAGAAGUGGCUAUUUGGGUGGAGUUACUAAUACCUGUUACUUGCUUGGGACAUUGUGAAAGGUAUUGCUUUGGUGAAUGGUUUGGGUAACAAGCAGCCACCACUGGGAUGAAUGAAUCACAGGAAGGUGCAGCUAAAGGUGGUUAGAGAAUAUUUUUCUUGCAUCUUUUCUCUUUUUAUCCAGAAAGAACACUUGGGAACGGUACUUAAUAGUGAACAGUGCUGGUACUGAGAGGAGCUGUUUUGGUUUGCUUGCUGGACUGAAGAAGGCAAUUGAGCAAUGGAUAAGAGGAUGAGGUUGAAUUGUCAGGAAUUGCAUGUGUGUGUAAUCUUGCAUUUUAUUCUGGGAGAUUGAGUCAUUGAGUAGUCUUCCCCUUUUUGCUCUUUUGUGGCAGGGAGUGCUGUUGUGGGAUGCAUUGGGGAGCCAACUCAAUCUAGAAGGCUGCAGGAGGUUGAAAUACCAUGUGGAAACAUCACUCUUCUUCUCCCAUUCCCCCAUCCCACUUAAGUACCACUCUUGCCUUCAUGCUUCUCUUUGGAUUAUUAUUUUGGAUUGAGGAAGCUAGUCAGUGAAGCAGGUAGAGGAUAGCACAUUUUCUGACAUGCAGAUAGGUCAACUACCUCAACUGAGUUUGAGGUUUGAUGUUGCCCAAAUGAUACCUUAAACCACCGAUAAGAUUGCAAAGUCUGGUUCUGAGAGGUAUAUGUCAGGAACACUCUUUCACUUAGGUUCAGUCCCCAUUCUGGAGUGCACUACCAUGGGGGUUAUCUCUGAACAUGAUGUAUGUGUGAUAGCACAAGUGAAUUGCCCAGGUGCUGUGGACAAAGGGCAUCUCCUCAAUGAAGGUAUACCAUUUUCAUGCACUUAAAAGGGGUUUCAUCCAAGAGUUUGAAGCAACAUCUUAACAUGCGUUCCCCCCCAGCUGACAUACCUUUAGAGCUUCCAAGUGAUGAGGCAUCAUCUUGUUUGGGUGACUUCUGAGUGCCUACCUAAUCUAUCUGUGGCCAAUUUUGUAGAUGACACAGUUCAAGUGCUGAAAGCACUCCACACGUGUUGUUCAGGUAAUCUUUGUAAUCUAAAGUAGAGCAAUAUUGUCCCUAUGUUUCAAGUGUCGGGUGGAGACUGAGAGAAGUAUGGUUUCACCAAGGCCACCUACUGAGUUUGUGGUGAGGUGCAGUUUGGACAUGAGACUUCUCAGCUGCUAUGCUACAUGUGGAAUGCACAUAGAAUAUUUCAGUUUUAUAAGCUACCUUCUUUCAAACUAGGAGCAUUGCUGGGUCAGGCCAGAGGACGAUCUACUGCUGCAUCCUAUUCUCACAGUGACCAAGCAGAUGCCCUAAAACAGAGCUUUCCAAAAUGUGUCGCGACAUGUUAGUGUGUUGGCUACAGUGUGUAGGUAUGUUGUGCGAAUGCUCCCCGCGCUCCUCCUGGGGCUGGAAAUGAGUUAGUUUAACCUCUAGUUUGCUAGUAAAACUGAAUUACUGUGUCACGAAAUGAUGCAUGUCUAAAAAGUGUGUCACCAACAUGAAAAGUUUAGAAAGCUCUGCCCUAAAGGGAAGCACGCAAACAGGACCUGAGUGCAACAGCAACUCCCCGCACUUGUAGUUCUCAACAACUGGUAUUCCAAAGCGUACUGCUUCUGAACUGAGGCCAGAACAUAGACAUUGAUGGCCUUACCCUCUAAGGUGGUGGCCAUCACUACCCUCCUCUUGGUAUAAGUUCCAUAGUUUAUCUGUGCUGUGUGAUUAUGUGCUGUACAAAGGAAGUACAUUCUUUCGUAUGUCCUCUUUCUUUUAUCUGUCCUGAAUCUUCCAACAACCUUCCCUUGCCUGCCAUAGCUUAUUUUUUGCUACUGUACAUGAGGAGUGAUCAUGUGUACUCUCUCCUGCCUCCUUACAUCACUUGACUGCCCCCAGAACCAGCACUCCCUCAGAGCUGAGAAGAGGAUAAAAACCCGCUUCCCACCCUUUUUGUCUCAUUCAUCCCUCUUACGUGCCUAUUUCUCUCUCCAACAGCUUUUUGCUCUUGUGGGCUGCUCUUUGCAGCUUCCGCAAUCUCUUAAUUGCGUUGGUGGGACAAUUCUUUCUUUGGUUGGGCUGGGGCAGGUGGGUGGAGGAAUGCAUCAAGGAUUAGGUGAGCUGUAGCUGAUGGUUAAAAAUUUCCUCUGUAGUUAUACAAUAAAUGUAUCUUGGGCCACAUCCACACCAUACAUUUGAAACCACAUUAACAAUCGUGAAUUCUCCCAGGGAUUCCCAGGAAGUAUAGUUUGUUAGGUAUGCUGAGAGUUGUUAGGAGUCCUCUAUUCCCCUCUCAGAGCCACAAUUCCUAAAGUGGUUUAACAACCAAACCCUCUUCCCAGUGGAAUUGUAGCUCUGUGUGGGGAAUAGGGGUGUCCUAACACCUGUCAGUACCUUUAACAAUCUGCAGUUCCCAUGAUCAUUUGCGGGAAGCCAUGGCUCUUAAAGUACUAUUAUACCACUUUAACUGUCUAGUGCGGAUGUGGGCUUGCCCUUGGUAGUUCAGCCCUAUGAGGAGGCAUGGUUGAGCUGUAGCUUGUGGGUGCCAUUAAUGGGGUGACUCAGUGGCAGACAGAGACAGAUUUAGGUGGCACAAUCCACUGAGAAUUUCUCCCGCACGUUCCUCAUUAAAGUGAAUGAGAAUGCAAGUACAAGAACUCAGUUCAUUUUUUUCAACAGUGCCACCUUGUCUUUAGCUGUGAUUCCUUAACUGCAGGGGUUGGGCUAGAUGACCCUUGGGUGUACCUUCCAUCUCUACAAUUCUUUGAGUCUAUGAUAAUAUCCUGAUGGAUUGUGCUCCAAAUUACAGUAUUGAGUUGUGGAUGGUAGUGGAAUGGGGAAAGGGCUGUAGAGCUUUGCAUGCAGGAGACUCCUGGUUCAAUCCCCAUCAUCUCCAGAAUGAGAAAACCUCAUGUUGGAAACCCUGGAGAGCUGCUGCCUGCCAUUGUAGACAGUACUGAGCUUGAUGGACCCAAUGGUCUGACUUUGCAAAGGCAGAUUCCUAUAUUCCAAUGAGAGUUUGCUGUUUGGGGUUGUCCAGUGUGUGUACUGACUCAUUUCCAGCAAUUUAUAAACUUCUCCAUUUCAGCUUGCAGUGGCUGCACCUCACUUUGGAAGUUGAACACUAUUACUUUAGGGUGAAGGGUGGGUAAUUAAUGGUGGUAAAGGUAAAGGGACCCCUGACCAUUAGGUCCAGUUGUGGCAGACUCUGGGGUUGCGGUGCUCAUCUUGCUUUAUUGACUGAGGGAGCUGGCAUACAGCUUCCAGGUCAUGUGGCCAGCAUGACUAAGCCGCUUCUGACGAACCAGAGCAGCGCACGGAAACGCUGUUUACCUUCCCGCCGGAGCGGUAUACCUAUUUAUCUACUUGCACUUUGACGUGCUUUCGAACUGCUAGGUUGGCGGGAGCAGGGACUGAGCAACGGGAGCUCACCCCGUCGCGGGGAUUCGAACUGCCGACCUUCUGAUCGGCAAGUCCUAGGCUCUGUGGUUUAACCCACAGCGCCAACCGCGUUCCUUAUUAAUGGUGGUAGUAGUAGUAAUAAUAAUGCAUCACACUGUCCCGUCUUUGCCAGGGUGAUCGGUAAUCCUGAGCCCCUUCCUUAUUCUGUAUCUUUCCAUUUAGCGACACCUUGAAUCCCCUGCCCUAUUAUGUGAUGCUGUUGCUUGCUCUUUCUGUUUUCUGACAUAUUUUUGGCCUUAUGAGAAGGUUGGGAAAUAACUGCUGCUGCCUCUUUGGGGAAGGGCCAUUGUUCAAUAGUAUUGCGGCUUUGCAUGCAGAAGUUUCCAGGUUUGAUCCCUGGCACCUUUGCAUAGGGCUGGAAAUGUCCCCUGUUAGAAACCCUGGAGAGCCACCAUCAGAGUAGACAGUGAGCUAGAUGGAGUCUGUGCAAGGCAACAUCCAAUGUCUAAGAGAUGCUGUUUCCUUUGCUAGCACACUGGGCGCUCUGCCUUUGAAACUCCUACCCUAGUAAAUUUCUCCCUUCUCCUUAGAAAGUAACUUCCUAAGGUGACACUUCCUGAUCUUCCCAGAGGUGGGGACAUGUUAGUCUGGUGCAGCAAAAAUAACUAAGAGUCUUGUGGCAACUUAAAGACUUAGCACAUUUAUUGCAGCAUAAGCUUUUUUGGACGCAUCUGAUGAUACAUGAAUUGUUAUCCUGAGUUACACAGGUGUAUACAGUAUAUUCACAUGGUUUGGUGGCUGGCUGGCUGUAAACAGUGAGGUCAGAGGGAAAUGAAAUGCAGAGAGUGAUAAUUACAUAAUUAACUAUGGUAAUUCACAAAACAGUUAUUGAUAAUAAAGACAUCCUGGCAUUGAUAUGCCAAUUAACACACACACAGUGCGUUGAAAUCCUUUGUCUUGAGUUAAUUCACAGGUGAUGGUAUUAAAACUCUUGCUGUAUUGAAAUCCAGCACUUCCGUGUUGCUAUUUCACUUGUGAUGUUCCAGAAUCGCUACUUUAAGGUCAUCUACAAGAGAAUAUUUUGGGUGGGUGAAAUGUUCCCCCUGCUAGCUUUUUAAUAUAGACCUUUCUGAUGUCAGGUUUGUGUCCAUUAUUCUUUUGGAUAGAGACUGGUCUGUUUGUCCUACAUAGAAUGUAGAAGGGCAUUCCUGACAAAUGAUGCCAUAUAUCACAUUGGAAUAUGAGCAGGUGAAUGAACACUUGAUGUCGUGGAUGACAUUAUUAGGUCCUGUGAUAGUGUUGCCAGGGUAGACAUGGGGAUAGAGUUGGCAUCUGCUGCUCAUAAUAACUUAUGUGCUCUGCUGGAUCACCUGUGUGGUGCUACCGCUCUUCCUCAUAUUUUCUGUUUCCAUCAUUUCAGAUCCCUUCUCAGAAUCACCCUCCACAAAGCCUUUGGUUCAACUGCACAUUCCUCAUCACAGUGCUAUAGGUUGGGGAAACCUGUGACAUGCCCGCCCUCUCAUCCAGCCCUCUGGAUGUUGUUUGUUUGUUUGUUUAUCAUACUUAUGUGCCUCUUAAGGCAGCCUGUAAGUACAGUGGUACCUCUGGAUGAGAAUGGGAUCUGUUCCGGAGCCCUGUUCUCAUCCUUGAAGCGAACGCAACCUGCGCGGGUCGCGAUUCGCUGCUUCUGCACAUGCGUGUGACGUCAUUUUGAGCGCAUGCACGAGCGGUGAAACCCGCAAAUAAUGCGUUCCAUAAUUUCCGGGUCGCCGCGGAGCGUAACCUGAAAACUCUCAACCUGAAGCAACUUUAACCCGAGGUAUGACUGUAAACCAUAAUAAUAAAUACAGUAUAUGUAGCAGUGAAACCAAGAAAGUACAAUGCAUCUACGAUAUGGGCUCUUUGGGGGGAGUGGUAAGGUAUGAAGCCAAUAAGUAAUAAUAAAUAAGAAUUAUCGCUUCUUGGCCUUUUGGCUAAGAUCAAGUGUAGUGUAAAUAAGAAUUCAAUGCAAUAUUAAACAAAGCUGCAAUACAGUUCAAUAAAACAAUAAAUCUUUAAAAACAAAAGCAUAGCCACACCUUUUGAGAGAUGUCCUUAGAGUCAGUUAUCUGCUGGGAGUGGCUCCAGGCCCUGUUAGCCUUCGCCAGCACAGCUAAUGGCCAUGGAUAAUGGGAACUUCAGUCCAGCAAUGUCUGGAGGGCCAAAGGUGAGCCACCCUCAAUAUAAGGUCUUUCAGUAAUUAUAAUAAUUCAUGAUUUCUUCUGGCUUCUCAUCGUGCAGUUUUACAUGGCCCUUGUUAAAAUGUUGAUUUUAUUAGUAUGGUUUUGAUUUGUAUUCUGUCUUGGAAAGUUACUUAGAAAGGUAGCGUAUGCAUAAUGCACUGAUAACAACAAUUGAUUAAUAGAAUAAAAAUCCGUUUUGGAUCAUCCUUGGAAAGAUUCUUGCAACUCUCUAAUCCAAGCAGGUUAAAUAGCAGUGAGGGUAACUGAUUGGUGUAUUAAGCGUUACUUACUCUCCACUGUUGUGUGUGUGUGUUUUGAAAAGGGGGGGAGUUGUGCUUUUCCAGAAGGUAGUUGCAGGGUGGGGCAAGACAGGGUGCAGCAACUGUUCCGGUUCUGCAAAGACUGUGAGCGCACCUUGUGACGUGCUUAACAGAUUACAGGGGAAAGGUAGCAAGGGUAGGUAGGGGUGGUUACUUGAAAACACCAGCUGCAGGAGAGAGGCCUGGCAGGCCUUGAAUUCCUUCUCAAUGAGCCUUCACCCACUGGCUUUGCUGUCCUCUCCUCCUCCGGUGAGUCUCCUCAGGCCCUGCGGGUCAGCAGUAGUGCCGCCUCCUCAGUUUUGGCUCCCACAGCUGCCUUCCACUUGAUUGUGCUUUUCCUUAUUUUCCCAGGGGAGAGUGGUCGCCCUCCCUAUGUGUUACAGAGGGGAGGGGGUGGGAAGCCUCUAACUCCAGUCUUUGGGGCUCUCCUCUUUCUUGCUUUCUCUGCAAGCGCAUGCAUGUGUCUUAGCAACAGGGCCUGAAAAGGACAGCUAGCAUGGAAAUGAGACAAGUAUAACAGUGGACUAAAUAUAUCUCCAGCAUCCUUUAUCUUAGGGGUGGCAGAGGAAGG